GAAUGGGUCAUUAAAUCAGUUAUGGUUCCUUAGAUCGUACCACAAGACUUGGAUAACUGUGGUAAUUCUAGAGCUAAUACAUGCAAACAGAGUCCCGACCAGAAAUGGAAGGGAUGCUUUUAUUAGAUCAAAACCAAUCGGCCGGCUUGUCUGGUCCGUUUGCUUUGGUGACUCUGGAUAACUUGGAGCUGAUCGCACGGUCCUCGUACCGGCGACGCAUCUUUCAAAUGUCUGCCUUAUCAACUGUCGAUGGUAGGUUCUGCGCCUACCAUGGUUGUAACGGGUAACGGGGAAUCAGGGUUCGAUUCCGGAGAGGGAGCCUGAGAAACGGCUACCACAUCCAAGGAAGGCAGCAGGCGCGCAAAUUACCCACUCCCGGCACGGGGAGGUAGUGACGAAAAAUAACGAUACGGGACUCAUCCGAGGCCCCGUAAUCGGAAUGAGCACACUUUAAACCCUUUAACGAGUAUCCAUUGGAGGGCAAGUCUGGUGCCAGCAGCCGCGGUAAUUCCAGCUCCAAUAGCGUAUAUUAAAGUUGUUGCGGUUAAAAAGCUCGUAGCUGGAUUUGUGUCCCACGCUGUCGGUUCACCGUUCGUCGGUGUUUAACUGGCAUGCCCGUGCGGACGUCCUGCCGGUGGAUGCGGUCGACCGUGGGCCUCUGGUCUGCGCGUCGGCGGUCCGAUGCAAUCCUACCGCGGUGCUCUUUACCGAGUGUCGAGGUGGGCCGGCACGUUUACUUUGAACAAAUUAGAGUGCUCAAAGCAGGCAGUGGCUCGCCUGAAUAUUGUGUGCAUGGAAUAAUGGAAUAGGACCUCGGUUCUAUUUUGUUGGUUUUCGGAACUUGAGGUAAUGAUUAAUAGGGACAGACGGGGGCAUUCGUAUUGCGACGUUAGAGGUGAAAUUCUUGGAUCGUCGCAAGACGAACCUAAGCGAAAGCAUUUGCCAUGGGUGUUUUCAUUAGUCAAGAACGAAAGUUAGAGGUUCGAAGGCGAUCAGAUACCGCCCUAGUUCUAACCAUAAACGAUGCCAGCUAGCGAUCCGCCGAAGUUCCUCCGAUGACUCGGCGGGCAGCUUCCGGGAAACCAAAGCUUUUGGGUUCCGGGGGAAGUAUGGUUGCAAAGCUGAAACUUAAAGGAAUUGACGGAAGGGCACCACCAGGAGUGGAGCCUGCGGCUUAAUUUGACUCAACACGGGAAACCUCACCAGGCCCGGACACCGGAAGGAUUGACAGAUUGAGAGCUCUUUCUUGAUUCGGUGGGUGGUGGUGCAUGGCCGUUCUUAGUUGGUGGAGCGAUUUGUCUGGUUAAUUCCGAUA
rnacentral:rRNA from 1 species